rnacentral:rRNA from 1 species
UACGUAGGGUGCAAGCGUUGUCCGGAAUUAUUGGGCGUAAAGAGCUCGUAGGCGGUCUGUCGCGUCUGGUGUGAAAACUCAGGGCUUAACCCUGAGCUUGCAUCGGGUACGGGCAGACUAGAGUGUGCUAGGGGAGACUGGAAUUCCUGGUGUAGCGGUGAAAUGCGCAGAUAUCGGGAGGAACACCGGUGGCGAAGGCGGGUCUCUGGGACAGCUCCUGGACGCUGAGGCGCGAAGGCUAGGGGAGCAAACGGGG